UCCAGCUCUGUGUCUCUGAAGAGUGACCGGUCUAAAGGGAAUCCACCAAACUUCAGUGGGAAAACACCAUCAUCUGCCCAAAGUGUUGAAUAUGAGUCAGCAGAUUCAGGAGACGACCCUCACAGGAG